CCUCCCCGCGCCGCCGCCUGCGCACCUCCACCCCGCGACCGAUUUCCCCAGCAGUCACCCGCGCGCCACCGCCGCCAUCCGCCGCCUGGCUAGCAUCCCCCACGCGAAAGCAUCCUGCCGCUGCGCUUCCACCACAGCCACCGCUAACCACCAAACGGUCGCCGUCACCUGCAGUCCAAUCUCGUAUGCCUGCGCCGUUCAACUCGUUCCUCGAGUACGUCGGCGACGGAAGCGUGCCACCCUCGGCUAUGGAUAAGGUGUGAUCCGCCCUCAUCUUCUCUCAUGGGGCGUGCGACUCUCGGAGCACCUCCGGGCAUCCUGCUGGGGCGCCAUUCAACUGGGCCACCUCGAGCACUCUCUCGGGCCGCCGUUCAACUACACCAACUGGCAUCGUUAAACAAAAUCACCCGACGACGUCCGAGGCCGAGUCCCAGUGAGGAGCUUGUCGCCUCCUAUGCUAUGUGCUGCCCGAGGACUGUGGGGCUCCUGUUCGUCAACAUCGCAGCGAGAAGCCAUAGGUGAGGCAUCGAGGAGAGCACUCCAUUCAGGAUUGCAGAUUUCUGCUAAAGUUCAGAGGCACCAAGGUGCGCACCCCACACAGCUAGGGACGAGUUCAGACAGGAAAUGGAAAACAAAAGGCAGAAGGUACUAGACAUAAAGAGAGCUGAAUUGGCCCAAAAUCUGCGUGCACCUUCUUCCUCCCCGGAUGGCAGCGUUUGGUCUUCUUCCUCGUAGCGGUAGCCGAGUAGCUUGGAGGCAGGAGGGCGUGCGCGUGGCUCGCGUGGUAGCGCCCGAAUGGCGUGGAGAUGGCGGGGCAUAUGGGUUCAUGUGGCGGCGCUCGGCUGGUUGACCUUCUAGCAACGGUUGCCUCGACCUUCCCGAUGAAGGUUGCUUCCGUGGCUCAGGAUCGCCAGGUGCACGCAGUCUGUCCUAACCGGCCCAUCAUCAGGCUGCUGGGUGAAGAUCAACCAGCCUGAAGACGCGAGAGGACGACUUUCCAGCUAAUGCUCCCCGCUACGCUUUCUGCCAAUGCUACAUUUUGUUCUCUCCCGAUGAAGGUGAUGGCCUGAUUUUGUUGGAUAAGCAAGAAUACAGUAAAUGGAGAGAGAUACAGAGCAUAUGCAGAACUAGAUGAAAGAACAGGGUAGCACUAAAAGUGUGUGUGCAAUGCAUGUAGAGUACUACUUAUACAGGAGGUGGUCGGGUGGGCAUGCACUAGUUGAGAUGUCAACUCUAGUAGGAAUUUUUGUUUUUUCCUUUAUUUUCCUGACUCGGCAUCCACAAGUCCAAAUCUGCACCUAUGCCUCCCAUGGA